GAGACCGGCGCACGGGUGCGUAACGCGUAUGCAAUCUACCUUUUACAGAGGGAUAGCCCAGAGAAAUUUGGAUUAAUACCUCAUAGCAUAGCAGCUUCGCAUGAAGCCACUAUUAAAGUCACAACGGUAAAAGAUGAGCAUGCGUCCCAUUAGCUAGUUGGUAAGGUAACGGCUUACCAAGGCUACGAUGGGUAGGGGUCCUGAGAGGGAGAUCCCCCACACUGGUACUGAGACACGGACCAGACUCCUACGGGAGGCAGCAGUGAGGAAUAUUGGACAAUGGGCGCAAGCCUGAUCCAGCCAUGCCGCGUGCAGGAUGACGGUCCUAUGGAUUGUAAACUGCUUUUGUACAGGAAGAAACACUGGUUCGUGAACCAGCUUGACGGUACUGUAAGAAUAAGGAUCGGCUAACUCCGUGCCAGCAGCCGCGGUAAUACGGAGGAUCCAAGCGUUAUCCGGAAUCAUUGGGUUUAAAGGGUCCGUAGGCGGUUUAGUAAGUCAGUGGUGAAAGCCCAUCGCUCAACGGUGGAACGGCCAUUGAUACUGCUAAACUUGAAUUAUUAGGAAGUAACUAGAAUAUGUAGUGUAGCGGUGAAAUGCUUAGAGAUUACAUGGAAUACCAAUUGCGAAGGCAGGUUACUACUAAUGGAUUGACGCUGAUGGACGAAAGCGUGGGUAGCGAACAGGAUUAGAUACCCUGGUAGUCCACGCCGUAAACGAUGGAUACUAGCUGUUGGAAGCAAUUUCAGUGGCUAAGCGAAAGUGAUAAGUAUCCCACCUGGGGAGUACGUUCGCAAGAAUGAAACUCAAAGGAAUUGACGGGGGCCCGCACAAGCGGUGGAGCAUGUGGUUUAAUUCGAUGAUACGCGAGGAACCUUACCAAGGCUUAAAUGUAGAUUGACCGGUUUGGAAACAGAUCUUUCGCAAGACAAUUUACAAGGUGCUGCAUGGUUGUCGUCAGCUCGUGCCGUGAGGUGUCAGGUUAAGUCCUAUAACGAGCGCAACCCCUGUUGUUAGUUGCCAGCGAGUCAAGUCGGGAACUCUAACAAGACUGCCAGUGCAAACUGUGAGGAAGGUGGGGAUGACGUCAAAUCAUCACGGCCCUUACGCCUUGGGCUACACACGUGCUACAAUGGCCGGUACAGAGAGCAGCCACUGGGCGACCAGGAGCGAAUCUAUAAAACCGGUCACAGUUCGGAUCGGAGUCUGCAACUCGACUCC
rnacentral:rRNA from 1 species